UACGGGGGGUGCGAGCGUUAUUCGGAGUUACUGGGCGUAAAGCGCGUGUAGGCGGUUCGUUAAGUCUGGUGUGAAAGCCCUGGACUCAAUCCAGGAAGUGCAUUGGAUACUGGCGAGCUCGAGUACAGGAGAGGAGAGUGGAAUUCCCGGUGUAGAGGUGAAAUUCGUAGAUAUCGGGAGGAACAACUGGGGCGAAAGCGGCUCUCUGGACUGUGUCUGUCGCUGAGACGCGAAAGCGUGGGGAGCAAACAGG
rnacentral:rRNA from 1 species